GACCCUGUGAGGAGGAUCUCCCAAAAAUUGAUAGGAAGUGCCGUAUGACACUCCAAAAAGCAGCACCGGUUUCAAAGAAUGUUCUCAUCCACCGAUGGCAAAUCCCAUCGGUCGAGAACAUUCUUUGCGGUGCUGUGUGGUUGAUUUGAAACGGGUGGCUGAGGGUU